CCCUUAGAUGUUCUGGGCUGCAUGCGCGCUACACUGAAGCUAUCAACACGUUUUCCCUCCCUGAGAAGGGCGGGUAACCUUUUGAAUCAGCUUCGUGGUAGGGAUCGGGGCUUGCAAUUGUUCCCCGUGAACCAGGAAUUCCUAGUAGACGCGAGUCAUAAGCUCGCAUCGAUUAAGUCCCUGCCCUUUGUACACACCGCCCGUCGCUACUACCGAUUGAACGUUUUAGUGAGGCAUUUGGACCGACGCAUCUCAGUUUAACCGCUGGUUUGUGUUGGAAAGACUUCCAAACUUGAGCGUUUAGAGGAAGUAAAAGUCGUAAC
rnacentral:rRNA from 1 species